rnacentral:rRNA from 1 species
GACGAACGCUGGCGGCGUGCCUAAUACAUGCAAGUCGAGCGAAGUUUUUCUGGUGCUUGCGCUAGAAAAACUUAGCGGCGAACGGGUGAGUAACACGUAAAGAACCUGCCUCAUAGACUGGGACAGCUAUUGGAAACGAUAGCUAAUACCGGAUAACAGUAUUUCUCGCAUGAGAGAUAUUUAAAAGUUGGUUAUGCUAACACUAUGAGAUGGCUUUGCGGUGCAUUAGCUAGUUGGUGGGGUAAAGGCCCACCAAGGCGACGAUGCAUAGCCGACCUGAGAGGGUGAUCGGCCACACUGGGACUGAGACACGGCCCAGACUCCUACGGGAGGCAGCAGUAGGGAAUCUUCCGCAAUGGGCGAAAGCCUGACGGAGCAACGCCGCGUGAGUGAAGAAGGAUUUCGGUUCGUAAAGCUCUGUUGUUAGGGAAGAAUGGAUAUGUAGUAACUAUACAUGUACGAGACGGUACCUAACCAGAAAGCCACGGCU